rnacentral:rRNA from 1 species
GACGAACGCUGGCGGCGUGCUUAACACAUGCAAGUCGAACGGAAAGGCCCUGCUUUUGUGGGGUGCUCGAGUGGCGAACGGGUGAGUAACACGUGAGUAACCUGCCCUUGACUUUGGGAUAACUUCAGGAAACUUGGGCUAAUACCGGAUAGGAGCUCCUGCUGCAUGGUGGGGGUUGGAAAGUUUCGGCGGUUGGGGAUGGACUCGCGGCUUAUCAGCUUGUUGGUGGGGUAGUGGCUUACCAAGGCUUGGACGGGUAGCCGGCCUGAGAGGGUGACCGGCCACAUUGGGACUGAGAUACGGCCCAGACUCCUACGGGAGGCAGCAGUGGGGAAUAGUGCACAAUGGGCGGAAGCCUGAUGCAGCAACGCCGCGUGCGGGAUGACGGCCUUCGGGUUGUAAACCGCUUUCGCCUGUGACGAAGCGUGAGUGAUGGUAACGGGUAAAGAAGCACCGGCUAACUACGUG